rnacentral:lncRNA from 1 species
UCGCCUCAUGCUGACGGUGCACGUCGACGUCGUAGUCUCCGUACCGCAGCCGUUCCUCCUGGUCCUCGACAAAAUUCUGCACGUGUGCCAUUUUUUCGCUUUUUUUUUUUUUUUUUUUCCUCCUCCGCUGUGGUCGAUCGCUUACCGCGUGUGUUCACAAAGUGCCGGUCCGGCCCUUAAUCUCCCCUAUUUAUGCUCUCGUUGCACUCCCACUCGUUCCGGCUAACGGUACAUCCCUUCGUGGGACCCGUGCACUCUCUCUCACCGUUGCUCCCGCUCUCCUAACGGUUGUUGCCCUUAUCUGAUCUCACUGCGUUAAUCCCAGAGUGCCGGCCUGUGUUUUGUCGCCUCGCGUACAUCGCUUCGCUGAGCGUUGGUGCCGACGGUGCCGGCUCGGUGUUUGUCGCCUCGCAUACAUUGAUCCGCUGAGCGUUGGUGCCAACGGUGCCGGCUCGGUGUUUGUCGCCUCGCGUACAUCGAUUAGCUGAGCGUUGGUGCCGAUGGUGCCGGCUCUGGCCACGGCCCACGUUUAUUUGUUCGUGCGUGCGCCCGCUGGCCUUCAUGGACUGGUGAGUGUGCCCUGCGCGGCACC